rnacentral:lncRNA from 1 species
CACGAUAACCGCCUGUGAGAUCAGUGGAGGGCAUGAAAGUACCGGUGAAAAGAUCCUUUUUUUCAACCUUAGAUACAUCAAAAAGGAUGGGAAAACUUUUACCAUCGAGCAAAACAACAACGUUUGGAUUGAAUGAAAUGAAUGGACCUGGUGGCAUGUUCGUUCGAAAAACAGUAGACUGAUGCUUCUGAAUUCUUGAUUUGAAAAACUCAUUUUUGCCCUGAUUGUAAAAGUAAUCAAGUCUGUCUUUCCAUGGACCAACUAAUGGCAGUCCAUAAUCUCCAGGGACUUUUCGGGUUGGGAGUUUUGCUUGUUUAACAGGUGGCGAUGGUGAUGGUGAUGGUGAUGAAAUGUAUGGCGGUCUCUCAGACACUGAAGCCUGAAUGGGACGAAUACUAACACGAUGAGACGAUGAAUUUUUACGAGAAGAUGAUGAUUUAUGUGAGGGGAAUUGUAGCUUAAGAGAAGGAAGAGCAAGAGAAGUUGAUGCCAUUUCUGUUAGAAAUCAAGAAUUGAACUCUUGACUUUUCUUCAACAAGAGAAGGGGAGUUCAAUAUAGUUGAAUGAGAAUGAGAAAUCUCUGUGGGUAUUCUUGCCUAUAAAUAAACAAGUGUGUGAUGUCAAAAGUAAGGUGAUGACAUUUGAGGUCUCAAUCAAUUAGCGGAGCCAGGUAGGGCCGAGGGAAUUUGAACCCUCUACAACAAAAAAAAAAACUAUAUUAUUUAUAUUUGGUUAAAAUUAUUAUUUUUAUGUAUCUAUAAUAUAUGUUGAUCCUUCAUUAUGUGUUUACUUCUUCAUAUUCUAAACACUCUUAGAAAAAAUCCUGAGUCCGCCUCGAGUCUUAAUCAUGAGAUAUUAAUGAUAUAUUAUGGUUUGUGGGGUGGCUUGAUGGCACAAAAAUAUAGUAAUACGCAUAACAAAGGCGUGCGACAAAUUAUAUAUAAAAAAGAACGGCACUUUCUUAUUGGUUUCUGUGGUGCUUUUAUUAUUGAUCUGGCUCGUGUUUUAUUUGUUUUUGGGAUCUAAGUAGAAAUAAUUUAUUUAUUUUUUCAUGCCACCGUCUUUGAUUCCUUCUGUUCCUCAUUAAUUUCUUAAAAUUACUAAAUUAAUAAUUGUACACAGAGUGCUUUUCUCAUGUUGGCUUGUUUUUCGUUUUCCGUCCACUUUGACAUGUGGUUUCUGUCAAAUUUGCUUUUUUAGAAUUAUAUUUUUUUUGGUUGUUGUUGCUAUUUUGCUAGUUUCUAGUCAAGCAUGCAAUGUGAUACUUCCUUCGAGCUUCGUUUAUUUUUACUUAUCUAGUAUUUAUCUGAUACACGUCUUAAGAAAAUUUUAUACUUAUUGAAUAUAAUAAAUUUAAUAUUUUAAAAAAUAUAUUGAGAAAUGAUUAUAGUUAACAAAAAAGUGUAAAUUAGUAAUUAAGUAAUAUAUUAUUUUUUAAUUUUUCAAACUGAAUAAGUAAAAAUGAAUGUUUAUUUUUAAUAUAGUGAACAAGUAAAAUUGAAAUUGAUUUCAACAAGGAUAAACACUGAAAGGAUAAUUGUAGAUUAAAUAUUUCAUAUUGUCAAAUCAUGAUCCAGUUUCCAUUUAAACUUUGACCUUGACAAACCAAAAAAAAAAAAAAGAUUAGGCACUUAAUCCAAAUUCACUUAUAAUAUAAACUUUAAUGUUUCAAUAUUCGUUUAUGAAUUUUUUUAUACUUUCCACGAUGUGAGAGAGUGAUGCGUUAAACACAAAUAUUAAGGUCAAAUCGAAUAGUCUGUAUAGAAUAAUAAUAACAUUUUAUAUUAAGUUUUCAAAAUUAGACCAGUAGUUGAUGACAUUAUUCUUUUAAAUUAGUCAAUAUGUUUAUACAACAACAACAAAAAUACUUUUAUACAUUUGAAGAACAUUUCCCUCUCUUUUAAUUUAUGUUCAUAUUCAGUUUGUUAGUAACUAUACUAUAGUUAUGUAAUAUAUUAUUAUAUUCUAUAACCUGUAGUUACCUAAUUGAAAGCUUUACAUUAAACAAUAAGAAUAAUAAAUUAAAUAGUCAACGAAUGGUCUUAUUUCCCGUAUUUUGAAUAAAUUUAUAUAACUUAUACUACGUUUGGUACGUAAAUAGAAAAUAAGUUAUUCACGUAUAACAUUAAUAUGACAAUUUAGAAACAAACAUAACCCAAUACAUCUAUAAAUCAUGAGGAAAUCUAUAUAUUAUUUUAUACAAAAUAAAAGAUGAAAUAACUAAUAUAUGCAUAAAAUUAUACAUAACUGAUUCCUACAUUAUUAACAUCUACAUAACUUUAAUCAGAUGUUUAAACAUGAAAUGAAUGAACUCUACGUAACAAAUUUCCGUUAUGUGUAACACAUAGGAGUAUUUAGUUUUCCAUCUGGACGGCGUUGAAUUGACCCGUUAACGUAUUAGAGGACGGAAGUCAAAGACUGCAGUGGUCAAACAUUUUGAUCCAAACCUAAGAUGUUGUGCUUGUGCCGGCACAUUAAAUUUAUUCCCACUACCGUCCAUACUAUACUUACGUGUGUUCCUUUCAUUUUUUCUUUAUCGUCGUUGAUUAAAAACGAAUAAUAUCAUAUCAUAUUGAAAAUAUAUUUUUGAUUGAUUUAGUUUAAUAUAAUUAGCAUAGGAAUAGUGAUUUGACAAAUUGAGUAUAAAGAUGGUGGAAUGAUGACUUGAGCUGAGGCUUAGAUUACUAUGUUUAUUAUGUUAAAUAUGGCUUGGAGAGACCGUCUUUAAAAAAAUAGUUUUAAGGUUUAGUGAUUAUAAAUGCUUGAUCAUGUGGAGGCACACUAAGCUAACGUUUGGCCAUAAAUUUCUAAAUAUUCUUGGCAAAUAUUAUUUGGGUGAAAUUUCACCAUGUGUUUGGCCAUAGUAUUUGGGAAAUAUAUUUCACUUUUUUAGAAAAAUAUGAUUUAUACCCACAAGUUUUAAACACUAUCAAAACUAACCAUAAGUUUGUAUUACAAGCCAAUUGAAUCUUCGUUGCAACAAUAACAAAUAGUGUACAUGACACUAGAGCAAUGUGGUAGUUUGGAGUGAGUGCAACAAGCAUCAUUCCAUACAUCGUGAAGUAGACAAAGCACAUGACUUUGUUANNNNNNNNNNNNNNNNNNNNNNNNNNNNNNNNNNNNNNNNNNNNNNNNNNNNNNNNNNNNNNNNNNNNNNNNNNNNNNNNNNNNNNNNNNNNNNNNNNNNNNNNNNNNNNNNNNNNNNNNNNNNNNNNNNNNNNNNNNNNNNNNNNNNNNNNNNNNNNNNNNNNNNNNNNNNNNNNNNNNNNNNNNNNNNNNNNNNNNNNNNNNNNNNNNNNNNNNNNNNNNNNNNNNNNNNNNNNNNNNNNNNNNNNNNNNNNNNNNNNNNNNNNNNNNNNNNNNNNNNNNNNNNNNNNNNNNNNNNNNNNNNNNNNNNNNNNNNNNNNNNNNNNNNNAUAGAUUUCCAAAUAUUCUUGGCAAAUAUUUUUUGGGUGAAAAUUUGGGUGAAAUUUCAUCAUGUGUUUGGCCAUAGUAUUUGGGAAAUAUAUUUCACUUUUUUAGAAAAAUAUGAUUUAUAUCCAUAAGUUUUAAAAACUAUCAAAACUAACCAUAAGUUUGUAUUACAAGCCAAUUGAAUCUUCGUUGCAACAAUAACAAAUAGUGUACAUGACACUAGAGCAAUGUGGUAGUUUGGAGUGAGUGCAACAAGCAUCAUUCCAUACAUCGUGAAGUAGACAAAGCACAUGACUUUGUUACCCUGAGCCGAUUGUUCAUUAUUUUCAUCAACAACCAUAUCAUCAUUUAAUAUUCAUUGAAUAUUUCAUCACUACUUUGGUGUUCACAUGAAAAACUAUGUAAUACGACACAAACAACUACUACAGAGGGUGUUUUUGUAAAAGAUAAAAGUUUGGGGUAAAAUUUCAAUUUUCAAAAGAUCCCAAAUAAUGAGAUUUGGCCCAAAUACUAGAAAAAACUAGUAUUUGGGAAUUUGGGAUAUUUGCCAAAAAUAUUUGCCAAAUAAUGGCAAAUUGUAUGGACAAACACUAUUUGCCAAAUUUUUUCCCAAAUAUUAUUUAGGAAAUCUAUGGCCAAACGGGCCCUUAAUUAAUCUCAAAAUUUUACAUGUGGAUCUUGAUAGUGGGCCAUAUGAAAUUUAGCUUCCAUUUUGUUAGAGAUUUUGUUGAAAUUGAAUUGUCUGUUUUUGAAACUUGAGAGUAUUUUGAUGAUAAAUUUACAAACUCUAAUUCAAAACUUAUAAAAUUAUAAUCAAACAUUAGCUUAGUAUUAGAGAGAUUGUAAAGCGUGCAAAGAAAGUCCCAAAUUCAUAGUUGAUCAAUGGAUUAAGGAGCUACAUAAAAGAUAUAAAAUUACUAAAAUUAUUUGAGUGAAAUCGUGUGGGGGAAAUAUUGUCCUUAUCAUAUUAAAAAUAUUAUUGAGUUGAUUUAACCGAACAAAUUAUUUAGAUAAAGGAUAUUUACUAUUUGAGAAAAAGGUCAAUCAUAUCAACAGAUUUGAAGUUUAAGUAAGGUCAAUCAAUUUGAAGUUUAAGCUAUAUAAUAGUAUAUAUCAACAGAUUUAAAUUUCACGCAACAUGAUAGUAUCUAUCUAUCUAAUUAUGAUAGUAAAUAUCUAUCUAAUUUACUUGAAUAGCAAAAGACUUUAACCUUAGAAUUUUAAAAUUACAAAAAAGUUGUCCUCAUAUUAUUUCAAGAUUUGUGUAUAAGUAUUUUAAAGCCCCCACGCUAUUUAUAAUAUAAAAAAUACAAUUGCAUGGGAGUUGGUACCGUUGCUGUCAUAUAUAAUAUAGUAUAAAGUAUAUAAAAAUAAUAAUAAUAUACUAUAUGAUUGAAACGUGACAGAGAGAGGAAACAAAUUGAUAUUAUAAACAAUUUUAGCAAUAGGACAAAGUAAGAGUUUUAAGUUUUCGAGUCUCUUUAAUCAGUAUUUGGUUAAGAGUAUAUGUAAAAUUUAUUUUGGAACAUAUCUUACAAACAACCUUGAACUGUCUAUUAUUAAGCCUUUGGAGCCCAGAAACUAGUUACAUGCCUCAUUAACAUAGAUACCUAGCUAUGAUCGGUGUUUUCAAAGACGUUUAGGCAUAUCUUGAGGCGGAGCAUAUUAAAAAUAUUUUGGGGCGCAAAUGAAAAUGUAGAUCUAUAAAACGUAUGUUAGGAGAAUUUGAGACUUAAGUUCUGAAUGCAAAAGCAUAAGCUAGCCCUAUGUAUAAAAGUAUAAUUCCUAAGAUUUUUGUGUAAUUAUUUAUCAAGAACCGCUUCAUUUUACACCCCGCCUCUUAAAACAUUUAUGAUCAAUUACUAUAGAAUCCAAUCAAAGACUUAACUUUCAGAGGAUCGAUACAAACUGUACUAUAAUAUAGUGAAUUUUUAUAUAUAUAAUGCAAAAGUAUACGCAUAUCAUUAAUGUAAUUUAACUUAUUAGGAAAGUGGAGUUACUAUAUUACCAUAUAGUAUACUACUAACUAUAAGCCAAUAUUAUGAGUCAUGACUAGUUCAUAAAAAAAAAUUGGUUACGUUAGGAAGCCAACUGCCCAUGUAAAUAGUACUACUAGCAUUAUUUUAGGAAUUUGAUUUGAAGUAUUCAACUUUUUUUUGCCCAAAACUUGUACUCACUACGAAAAACUCCAAUACUGAUAACUAUAAAAAAUAUAAAUAAAAAUAACAAAUUCUACUUGGUGAUAUAUUAGCUUAUGAAGCGAAAAUUUAAGCAUCUUUUUUUCCCCCAAAGAAAUCAAGAGAAUUAUUUUAGGAACUUCUUGUUCUUUUUCUAGUAAAAUCUAGUCACCCGACCUAUAUUAAUCUUUGUUGGUGGGAGUUUGGAUCGUUUGACAUGAAUUACUUCCCGUAUAUUUAAAAUCUAUUUUGUAAUAGUUGAUUUUUUCUUUUUAUAUAUGAUGGGUAUGAAUAUAUAAAUUAUAGUUUAUAAUAACAAAGAACGUUAUCAUCUAAAAAUUAAAGAGCUAAUUCGGGAUCAAUUUGAAUUCAGUUAGAUUUUAAAAAAGUUCGAUUGAGCUCGAUUCAAUUCGUUGUUGCAACAAAUUCAACUAAGCUAGCUCGACUCAAAAUCAAUUUUACAAUCACUUCACAUAAGAAAUAGAGAUCAUCCGUAAUAUUGCAAACUACACGAGUCCAUGUGUCAUUAACAUAAACAUGUGGGGAGGUUUUUGUACAUUUAAAAACUUGAAAUUUAAAAGAAAAAAAGGGAAGGAGCUCAAAUGGGGGUUUAGGGUUUAGUACUGUAAUCCAGAACAAAAAAUAUGAAUCUUCAAUCUGCUUGUUCAUUGCUUCAGCAUGAAUCUUCAAUCCCCAAUUUUUCUCAAUUCCAGUUUCGCAAUGUAAGUAUUUUCUUCUCAUUUCUCUGUGUAUUUGAUCUUUUUUUUUGUUUUAGGAUUUUCGGUAUCUGUAUAUAUAUACACUAGUAAAUUUUAUCAAUUCUGUGUAGAUUUCUGUGGUGCGGAAGAAUCAUGGUAGAAGAAGCUAUGUUCGAUUGGAUAAAAGAACCCAUUUGGUUCAGAAUGAUGUAAAAUGUAAAUUUUCUCGCUCUCUUUCCAAUUUCCUCUGUUGGGUUUUGUGAAAGUUUGCUUUAAAGAUAGAAUUUUGGGUUGAAAUUUUGAUAUUCAUGUUUGUUUCCAAUUUCCUCUUCUGGGUAACUCUACAUUUCUUCAAAAGAUAGUCUUUUGCUUUGUUUCCAAUUUUCCUCUGUUGGGUUUUGUAAGUAUUGCAUUAAAGAUAGAAUUUUGGUUUGAAAUUUAAACAUCCAAUUUUCAUUCCAAUUUCUUCUGUUGGGUUUUGUAUAUAUUGUUUUAUAAAAAUAGUAUUUUGGGUUGAAAUUCAGGCAUCUAUGCUUUCUUUCCAAUUUCCUCUUUGGGGUACCUCUAUAUUGCUUCAAAAGAAAGUCUUUGGCUUUGUUUCUAAUUUCUGUUUUCGAGGAUGUAUGCAUAUGUUUACAUUUCUUUAAAUAUGGCCUUGUUUCCUUUAUUUUGCAGUUAUUCCGUCACUGAAGAGGGAAUUGAUAGUGUGUGCCUCUAAUUCCAGUCCUCCGGGGAAGUUGAAUUAUGAUGGUGGGGAAAGUAGGGAUGUGAGCAGAAUCACCAGUAACGGGUCUGAACCAUUUCGGGGUAAAUCAGGUUCUGUUUCAUUCCAAGGGAUUACACACCAAAUGGUUGAAGAAAGUAAGUUGGUGUCAUCCCCUUUUGAGGAAAAAAGAGGCUCCUUUCUAUGGGUUCUUGCUCCUAUUGCAUUGAUCUCUUCUUUGGUGCUUCCUCGAUUCUUCAUUGUGGUUGCCGUUGAUGACUUGAUUAAGAAUGCAACUCUUGCAGGUAUAUGAAAGUAGAGUAGGAGUUGGUUGUUACUUUCUAUAUGCUGUUUCUGUAACCAUUAACUUGCUAUGCGACUUCGGAAAAGAUGAUGUUUAUUAACCUGGUGAUUGGAUAUGUAAACUUGCAGAAGUGAUAUUAACUAAUCAUUACCUGUGAAUGUUUGAUGAUAUUGUGAGGACUGAUUUAGUCCUUAUUCUUAACAUAAUUCAGGAUAAUUCACUUUCAGUUUAAUCAACAAUUUAUUUUAGUUUGUUAUUAACAGAGAAGUCAGACAAGGUUAAUGUUUUCAGCUAGAAUAUAUAUAUUGAUAUUUGAGUUUUCAAGGGAGAUUUACUCCGCCAUGAACGGGGUCUGUCUGUCUUGGUAUAAUGCAUUUAAUUCUCUAUGUUUUGUUAGCAUUCAUUUAUUCUAGUCAAUCAUGGAGAGUAGAAUCUAAUGGUUCAGACAAUUAUAAUGGGUAAUUACAUACACUCACACUAAACGCCCUUGUCUUAUUUAAAAAAAAAAGAUACACCCACACUAGAUGAAACUUGAAGUAUGCUUAAAUGGGUGAAAAAUAAGAUUUAACGUCUUAGAAGAUUCCCCUACUCUUAUGAAUUAAUUUUUGUUUCAACUGAAUGUUAGUAGUAGUAAAAAAUGGUCAACUUUGAAGUGUACGUUAAAGGUGUUACUUUUGGAUACCUGGAUAGAUUUUAUGAUAGUUUUCAAUUGGCCAGCUAGGUUGAUGUGUAGAUAGUUUGUUUAAGCUGUUAAGCAACAACAUUACAAAUCUUAUAUAACAGUUUUAUAGUCAAUUUUCUCCCCCAAAAGUUUCUUGUUGGUCGAAACGGUUUACCAUUUAAUAGAAUCUCAUCCAUUUUACCAUUACUAGAAUGUAGCAUGUUAUCAGAUUUAAAGAACAAAAACUUUCCAAAUUGUACGAGCUGUGAGAUUGUGAAAAUUAUAGCUAGAUGCACACGAUUCAGCUGCACUUACACUUAUUCAUGUGAAAAAUUACUGAAAUCUACAUCUGUCUAUGCAGAAAUUGUUUCUUCACUUUUCUCUGAGGUCAUGUUUUACAUUGGCCUUGCGACAUAUCUUCGGGUCACUGACAGCGUUCAGAAGCCAUAUCUACAAUUCAGUGCAAAGAGAUGGAGCCUCAUAACUGGGCUUAAGGGAUAUAUAACAUCUGCUUUCUUUGUAAUGGGGUUUAAGAUUUUUGCCCCACUCUUCGCUCUUUAUGUUACCUGGCCUUCACUUGGCUUGCCAGGCUUGGUUGCAGUGGCUCCUCUUUUGGUUGGCUGUUUGGUGCAGUAUUUAUUCGAGAGAUUGCUUGACAGACACGGAUCAUCUUCUUGGCCCUUGGUGCCAAUUAUUUUUGAGGUAUGCAAACUGCUAAUUUUUUUCCUUUUCUUUUCGGGGUUAAGGAAAGUCAACAUGGAACUGAGGAUUUCAAAUCUUUGCAGAUUUAUAGGAUAUAUCAGUUGACGAGAUCCGUCCAUUUUGUGGAGAAGUUGAUGUUUUCUAUGAGCGGAGCUCCUGUCACGCCCGAGUUGUUUGACAGAAGUGGUGCAUUGGUUGCUAUGAUAGUGACUUUCCAAGUUUUAGGAGUGAUUUGCUUAUGGUCCUUGCUUACAUUUCUUCAAAGGCUCUUUCCUUCCAGACCUGUUUCUGAAAACUACUAAUCUUUGUAGAUGAAGAUGUUGAUCUUUUUUCUCUUUUGCUUUAUAGAAACUUUGAUUUGCAUUAAUUUAAAUGAUCUAGUGCAGUAUCUAGUCCUACUUUUCUGAGCUAAAUAAUAGAGAUAUGCCUUAGCUUUCAGUUCAUCAAUUAUGGUUUUAUCCUGGUAAAUUUAAUUAGAUGUGGCUGUUCGAUAAAUACGUUAUCUGAAUGACACUCCAGCAUCAAGCAGCAGAACAAAAGUUCAUAUACAAAUCUCUGAUAGACACUUAAAUCUGUCUCAUACAUGUUCAAUUUGUCCUAAAAGCAAAUUGCUCUGCACCAUUUUAAGUUGUUAAUGGAAAAGGUACAAGGUUAUGGUUUGGAUCAAAGAGACAAAUGCACAUGAAGAUAUAAUUGCUACAAAUCUGAUCUUUCUGUAUAAUCUGUGGAAUAAUUCACUUUCCAAGAAUAAGUCUUUAACCUAAUCAAGCCAGGAGAAGGAUUUUCUCAAGAAAUUAAAAGAGGUGAAGGUUUACAUUGGAGAUCAACUUGAAAAACUUCACAAAACUCCUUGACUAAAGAUUUAUGAGUAAUAUCAAUAAGUUGGACAUCAUUAAUGUCCUGAUGGUUUUCUGUACCACGGCCAUUAGAGUGGGAGUGCUCCCUCAGCAAUCCUUUUAUGCUUCCAACUUGACGGUCACGAAUCCCACAUGGAACUAUCUGUUGAAAGGGUGACAGAUCUGUGGUGACAUUCAGUGCCAGGCCAUGAUAUGUGACCCAGUGAGAUACUCGAAUGCCAAUUGCAGCUAAUUUCCGCCCUCCUGAAAGAAGCCAGUGUUGGAUCAAAAUAUUACAUGCCUUCCUUCAGAAGUAAAAGGCGUAAUAAUAAUACACCAUACUUACGGUUGAGGGAUACAAAAAGGAAGGACGAAAAGGUUCUUUGGUGAGGUGGGUGGAAGGAGGAGAAUAACAAUGUACUCUUGAUUAGGACUCUAAAGACUGUUCUACCUCUCAAACUACGAAAAUUAAAACAGUCAACCAAAUAAGCCAAGUAAAGCAAUUUUAGAUAACGAUGAAACAGUUCUAUCUCCUUUAAAAAAGUCCAUUCCUUAUUUAAUCCUCCCUCAAAUCUUGCUUAGUUUGUUUGUUCGCCCAGGAAAUACCUUUUAUUCACUUCUUAUUUCUCUCGAAAGCACCCAACCAACUAUUUUUCUGUUUGACAAGGAGAUAUAUAGAAAGUGUGCAGUUAAGCUACUUCUCAAAAUUUAGUUUUUUUAAAAAAAGGAGCAACUUGUAAAGCUAUCUCCAGAAUUGUUCCUGGAAUGGAACAUGCAAUUGGUAAUAAGAUUAUUGGAGAUAACUUCUGCGAGUUUCAGUCUGUAUCAAGUAUGCUUCAAAAAAUUCAUAAACGCUCUAGAUGAAUGGUAAUAGACAUUGACAAAUAAGAAAGCUUUUAUCUGAAGAUUAUCAUUGUAAAACCUAUAAAAGGUUUAUUCCAAGUAAGAAAAGUAAUCCCUUCAAUACACAAAUCCAGGUACAACUAAACUGUUGUUCAGUUUAAUACUGUAACCAGAUUUCAAAUAUGGCCGGAUGCACUAUGCAGGUCAAGUCACAAGUGCCAUUCAUAUACCCCUAGGCACAUGGGAAAUCUUCAAACAAGAAAUAUCUUAUGAACUAUCACCUUACCAAAAGGUUUUCUAAAACCAUAACGCCCAAGUCAUUUUCAGAAAUAUCAGAUAAUACCACUUAAAGACUAAUAUGGCCAACCAAAUGAUAUGGAGAAUCAGUACUUACCAACCCAAACACCGGUUAGGCCAUCAAUUCUUGAAGCCUCUAUAGAAAAUGAUGAAGAAAGAACUCGUAUAAUCACCUCCUCAAGGCUCCUGAGGUACCAAUGAAGAUCCAUCUCAUGAUAUCGAAGAUUGAUGAUGGGGUACAUAACUAGCUACAAUUUCAGAUAGAAGCAUUAUAUGUCAGAAACGUAAUAGGUCAAACAAACACAUAAGUUAUCCUAAUCCCCCAUACAAACAGCCACCCAAUGAAGUAUAACACAGCAGUCUUGUCAAAACCACAUUUGAUACGGGAAUUUGUAGAAUGUCUAGAUAAUCAUAGCCCAUCAAAAUCUGGUUACUGAUACAUCUGACUAGACAACUUAGACUAGAAACAUUGCAAGCCCUUGAACCAACGACAUCAAGCAUCGAGAACAACCUAUAUACUUGGCUUAGUAAUCAACUAUAUCAAGAUAGUUAAGGAAGUAGGCAGCAACAAGUGAAAUCAGAAAUGUACCUGACCAGGGCCAUGGUAAGUAACUUCACCACCACGUUCUGUUCGAUACAAUUCAAAAGGAGCAUUCUUUACAUCAAAAAGUAUAUUCUCUUCAGAGCUACCAGUACCCAACGUAUAAACCGGCUGAUGCUGCAACACAAUGAGUGUGUCAGCAAGAUCCUCAUCCCUUUCAAUUUGUGCUUUCCUCUCAUCGACAAUAGUCUUUUGCCAGGACCACGCUUUAGCAUAUGGAACUAACUCUUUGUACAUAUCAUAACAAUCACAGCUAGAGUCAAACAGAGUUAAUCUACUGAAAAACCUUACAUUGCACAACAAGUGUUCGUCAAAAUGUCAACAAGAAAAUCUUACCAUCUUUUGGCUUGACAUCUUGUUAAAGUCGGGCUCUUGAGUAUAGCUGUACUAGAAUUAUGCUUAAUCUUUGAUGGGUUUCCCAGUUUCCAUGUCGGAAUUGAACAGAACAUCGAAUUUGUGAAAACAACCAUUUCUGCAAUAUAUUGACUGUAAAAACCGAUGAACCAAAACCAAUUAAUAACAAAAAAUCCCAAUUAAACAAAAAUUAGGAGAGAAAAAUGUAAUCAAAAGAUUAAAAAGAUUGGAUAUUUGAAGAAUCUGUAAGUGUUACCUUAAUGGAUCUGAACUGAACUCGCUGUUCUUUUAAGAUUAAGAAAGAUCACGGCUUCUUGUUCCCUCCGCUUGGAUUUGUAUACGAAUUAUUAAAUUCAUUUAAUUAAUUACUUUUCAAUUUAGGUAGACGUUUUAAUUUAUUUGAUCUAUUUGACUUACCAAAUUAUUUUUAGAGUCUGUUUGAUUGACUUAAAAGUUAUCAAACAUACUUUUUACAUCAGUUUUAACUUUUGAAAAGUUUAUCAAAGUUAAAGAUAACUUAGAAUAAAUUUAGAAUGACUUGAAAAAAGUUAAAAGUUAAAAGUAGGUAAUUUCAUAUUUUUCAUCUUGUGGUCUUAAACAUGUAAUGUGAAAAAUUUAAAUUUAAUUAAUGCGAAUCAUAAUUGACCAUGUGUAAAAACUAAUUUUGUAUAACCGAAACUAUUUUUAGUUAACAAAUAAUGACAUGGGUGAACUUUUUCUUGAAGAUGAUAAUAGAUGAACCAAAAGAGCAAAACGAAUAUAAAUGUGUAAGUCCUCCCAAUCAAACAAGCAACCGAUGACCAUCAUAAAAGCAAGAGAUAUAGUAGACGUUUGGCCAUAGAAUUUACGGCUUAAAUUUAUAGUUUUGAUUUGAAAUUAUAAUUUAUUCAUGUAAAUAAGCAAAAAUUUUAAUUCAAUUUCAAACUUUUUAAAAUGUAUAAUUUCAAGUUUGAUUAGUGAUUUCAAUAUUGAACUUCGUUUUUUUAACAACGUAUGACGACAAAUAUUCUACUAUAAAAGAAACAUAGAAAUAUGUUAUUUAUUAAUGUAGUACAUCAAGAUAUUCCGAUAGCUUAUAUUUUAUAUAUAAUAAGGUACAAUGGAAAGAUUUUUAUAGUAUUUAGUUAUAUUGUAACUAUCUUGUUAGCUUUCAACCAAAAUGAGUACUUCUUUUAAAUAAUAAAUAUGUUCUCAUUCCUUUUGAAUUUGUUAAUCUGAUUUUGAUCUGACACAUAGUUUACGAAAGUAAAUUAAAUUUUGAGAAAAAAUAUUAAGUGAUACUUGAAGUUGUCCCAGAUUUUCAAAAAGACACCUUAACUUUGCGUGCGUCCUAUUACCCCACAAAACAUUCAAAAUCACAAUAAAUACACAUUUUUUACACAAUAUUUCCACUUUGGACAAAAAUAUCCUUCGAAUGUGCAAUUUCUUAAAAACAAAAAGUGGGACCCAUUAUUGAUGUAUUCAAGGAUGCUUUGGUAAUUUUCCUAUGAUNNNNNNNNNNNNNNNNNNNNNNNNNNNNNNNNNNNNNNNNNNNNNNNNNNNNNNNNNNNNNNNNNNNNNNNNNNNNNNNNNNNNNNNNNNNNNNNNNNNNNNNNNNNNNNNNNNNNNNNNNNNNNNNNNNNNNNNNNNNNNNNNNNNUUUAGUACUACAUAAAUUGAGAAAGAAGAAAUGACCUCUAUUAUUUGAAAAUGGCGUAAAAGUAUUACAAAUCAUACAAUAAGAAUUAACAAUUUAAAAUUUUAAAGACUUUAAUGCUUUAUACUUAUUCUAUUUCCACUUUGGACAAAAAUAUCCUCCCAAUAUGCAUAUUUUUUUAAACAAAAAGUGGGACCCAUUAUUGAUGUAUUGAAGGAUGCUUUGGUAAUUUUCCUAUGAUGAAUUCGUUUUUUUGUUGUUUAAUCUUUUUUAAAUAAUUAUAUAAAAUAUUAUAAAUCACAAUAAUUAUUUACUUAAAUAUUCAAAAGAUAUAAAAAAUAUGUAAAAGGUCUGAUUAACUCUUCAAAUUUUAUCGGUGACACAUAAAAUUGGACAAAUAAAAUAAUAUAUAUUAUUUGAAAAUUACUUAGAAAGUACAAUAAUUUACAGUAAUUAACAAUAGAAUAUUUUAAAGACAAAAAAAAAUUGAAUUGAAUCUCGAAAUUUUAAUUAGUACCACAUAAAUUGAGAAAGAAGAAAUAACCUUUAUUAUUUGAAAAUUGCGUAAAAGAUAUUACAAAUCAUACGACAAUAAUUAGCAAUUUAGAAUGUUAAAAGAACAUAAAAAAAUUUUUACCAUAGUUAACAAUAAUUAAAAAUUUAACUAUUUAAAUUAAUAUUAAAGUUUGAUUAACUCUUUAAUUUUGUCUUUGUUCACAUAAAUUGAACAAAAAAUGAUACAUAUUGGGCCCGUGCUAGCACGGGAUCCGAUGUCUAGUAUAAAGUAUAAACUAAUAUAGUUUGCGCAUUUGCGAAGAAACUGUAUAGAAAUUGAAGAAGUUUUGAUAAUUUUUUUUUUUUAUAACUAUGAAAUAUAACUUAAAAAAUUUAAAUUGCAUGUCUAAAUAAAAUUUGAAGUUGAUUUAACGGACUACAAACUUCAUAGGUAAGGAAGAAGUUGAAAUGUGUCAUACUAAUAUAAUGACCGUCUAAAAUGUAGUAUAAGAAUAACAACUUGUGUCUAUUUGAGACUCCUAAUUGAUUUGCUCAAUGUGACAAAGCUGGAAGCGACUGCUGUUUUAAAAUUCAACCACGUAUAUACCUAAACCAAAAACGAAUCCUUCUUUCCAUAUUCUAAAAUUGAUACUCCCUCCGUUUAGAAAAGAAUGACCUAGUUUGAUUAGGAACGAAAUUUAAGAAAAGAAAGUUAAUCUUAUGGUUCUAAUUAAAGUUAUAUCAAAUGUACCAAAAUGCCCUUUAAUCUUGUGGCCUUAAAUAUGUCAAGUGGAAAGUUAAAGUUAAAGUAUUGCCAAAAAAAAAAGGAAAGGAUCGUUCUUUUUGAAACAGAUUAAAAAGGAAAUUGAGUCAUUCUUUUUUAAACGGAGGGAGUAAAUAUUAAUGUUUGUCUGCACCAAUAGAAAGUCGCAAAAGUGCCACGUGUUCGGAGGAGAAUGCUUAUGACCCUACACGCUAAAUGUAAAAAUAUCAUUGAAAAAUUCAGAACAUGCACCUUUAUGCCUACCUCUCCAAGAAAAGUGGAGAAAAUAGCCAAAAUAAAGGUCACACACAUUAUUAUUAUUAUUAUUUCACUUUACGACAAUACUAACUAAUAUGCCACGAAUCUUCUGCACUCUUUUCAAAUUGCAUAUAUAAAUAUGAAAUCUUGCUCAAAUGGAGAAAGAAAAAAAAAAGUAAGAGAGAAAAAUAAAUAAAAGAAGGUGAAAUUAAUUAAAAUGGCGGUAAAUGGUAGAUUGUUACGUACCUCUAAGCAAAUGGGGUUACGUGACAACAAUGGUGGCCAGAAUCAGCAGCAGCAACGUUGUUAUUCGUUGAUGAAUAAUUAUUCGUUAAAGUUUAAGUGUUUAAACAAAGGUGGCCUUGUUGGCGGAGCAGAGAAGAAGACAGUAGCAACUAAGGCUGUUGGUACUGCGGUUGUGUCUGAACCAAUUACGACACAAAAUUGGAAGAUUUCAGAUCUAAGUUUAAUCGCAGAUAAUAAUGUAUCAGAUCUGAUACUUCAAAACUUGAAAAAUUUACUCAAACAAAUGCCGCAGAAAUUGCAUCACUUACAGUCUUCCAUAGAGAAGGUAUGACUUUUCUUUAAUUUUUCGCCUUAAUUUAUAAUUGCUCACAUGGUAAAUAUGAUUUGUGUAAACACAGUGUUGAUAAGUCUUUAAAAGUUAUAAAAUACGUAGUCGAAUUAUUCCAAAUAUUUCAGCUGGAAUAGCUAUGUACUUUUUUUUUUCUAUUCACUCAUGAUCUGGUGCGAGACUAACACUGAUCCAAUAAUUACGUGACAUAUUUAAUUUAAUUACAUACACUCCUAUCUAAUAUUUUUGUUCAGCUCAAGUUUGUUUUUUAUUCCUUUUUUCUGAUUGGAUAUUGGAACUCUGUUUUGCAGGGUAUUUUGGAUUGCCGGUUCUUCAGUCUUUUUGCAGUCGCAGGGACAUUGAUUGGUUCAUUAUUAUGCUUUAUCGAGGUAAUAUAUUAGUAGUACUAAUUACUAGUAUUAUUAUUUUAUCAUGAAGAAAUAAUUGAUUUUAUGCAAUUUUAAGACUAACAAAUUAAAUAAAUAUUCUCAUUAUUGCAGGGCUGUUACUUAAUCAUAGAGUCAUACGUCCACUAUUUUAUCGCACUCUCACAUAAGUCAGACCUUGGACAUGUCGUGCAGCUAUUGAUCGAAGCUAUUGGUACAUUUUCCCUCUCUUAAACGUUGAAAUUAAUAAUCGAGAAUUGAAUGAACAAGUGUUUAUAUUAUGAGCAUAAAGAAGUUAAACUGUAAUUGAAUAACGUUCUUUUUUUUUUUCUUCAGAUAUGUUUCUAUUGGGGACUGCUAUGCUUACAUUUGGAAUGGGAUUGUAUGUCAUGUUUGUGGGAUCAAGAAAUAUUAAUGUUAAAAGAGAUGAUCAAAUGUCAGGCAAAAAGUUGUAUUAUUUUCAAACACUUCCAUCAUUGAUGGGAAUGAAAUCAGUAAUGCAAGCCAAAUCAAGAAUAGGACAUGCACUUAUAAUGUUACUUCAAGUGGGAGUAUUGGAGAAGUUCAAGAAUAUACCUGUAGUUAAUGGAUUGGAUCUUGCUUGUUUUGCUGCUGCUGUUUUUGUUUCCUCCAUAUGUGUCUUCAUUCUUUCUAGGCUUGCUGUCACUAACACAAAGGCUGGAAACUAAGAUAAUUCAUUUGUAACCAAAAAAAUAGGUCUGUAUACUAGUCGAAAAUUAGGACUUGUUAUAGUUGACCUUAUUAUUAAAUAUUCUUUCAAUUUGUAACAAUUAAAAUACAUUUGUUCAUAUCUGUUUUUGUAUAUUUUUCGAAUCAGUAAAUGAGUUUCUGAUAUGGUCCCCAGUUAUGGAUCUAGUUAUGAGACGCUGCAAGAUAAAAUCUGAAGUUUUCUUUUUUCUACCUAUGGUGCUGGUUUGUUAAGAGAGAACCUGCAAUCUCUUGAGUUUGAAGUACUUUUCUGCUUAUCAUUUCACUAAAUACAAAUAACAUUAAAUACAACACUGGUGGAUUAACCACCCAUCUGAAAAACAAGGAAGUAAAAAUAGGAAAAACAAGUAACUAAAAAGCUGUAGUAAUUACUGCAAACAGAAAUAAAAAAUAAAUAACUUAAUUUCCUUAAAUCUUCCAUGUGUAAAACAUUGGUAGACUAAAAGGGGUGCUAACAGUUUCAUUGUGUUGUUGAUGCGGUUGAGAGUCAUGCAGUUUCAAGUUCAAAUUCCAACGGAGACAAAAAUACUAGUUGAUUCUUUCCAUCCGGAUACCACGGUCAUCAAAAGAAUAAAAUAAUAACUUGAGUUGUUGACACUAUACAAGGGGGGUUACUUGUAUAGAAAUGUUACUCACUCUAGGCACAAUUAAGUAACUAAAUAUCCAGUGAAAUACUUUACAUAAUAGUAUACAGCAAAAUCUGCACUAAUUCAAGAGAGCUAAACUUGUGCUUCACAUUUGAUAAAACUCACCACAAUUUUAACAGUGUGUACGUAGACCAACAAAAGAAUUAUAAAUAGGUUAAAAAAAAGACAUCCUAAAGAAGGCCAGUUUGUUCAAAUGCACAACAUACCAUCACUGCUUUUUUCUUCUUCCGUUCGAUGAAACCUUCUCGGGCUCUCCCUAUACCACCAGGGCUACGCAAAAACAGUGCCCUUUGAAUUCUGAAGAAUAAAGAGGAAUAUGCUAAUCCUAUCUGAUCUCUCUCUAUUGAAUGUCAUCAGCACAUAUCAUAGAGGAAGCAAAUAUGCUCGAAACUUGGAGAAAGCCCUGAGUGUUCUUGUUUCAGCUAUCCUUUCUUGAGCAAACCAUAAAUAUACAUCAACUUGUUAGAGGCUUUGCUUUUCUUAUGUGGCCCAUGCUAUUGACGAGAUCCUUGCGUGUACAAACAGGAAACAUGUUGAUAUUCCUGAAUUCUUUGAACCGCCAAAGGACAUAUGGAAAACUCAGUUGAUCACGGGAUGUAAAGCGAACCACCUCAUUAAACCAUAGGCACAUGAGCAGGUUAGUCGAUGGUGUGUGCUCUCUCACAAUAAUUGAAGCCUCAGAUAGAGCUGCACCGAUAUAGUGAGUGUGAGAAUGAUUUACUGAUUAGAAAACAAUCUUCUCAUUUGAGCAAUUUUGGAAUAGCAGUACUAUAAGUAUGCAGUGGAUAACAAUCACGGUAUAUGCUUCAUUUCAGCUGACAAGGAAAAGAGAAAUUCUACCUUUUUUCCCAUUGAAUCUCUUAUCCUCAGGGAGUCCAUCUUGACGGUACUGAGCUAUCUGCACGGCCACUUCCUCUGGAGUGGCCUUAUUUUUCUUGACAACAGCCUUUGCCUCAUCAUACACGCUACUCCGAGCUCCAUGUUCUGAGAUUGCUAGUACAGAGUUUGAACGCCAGAGCAGAGCUUCCAACACACCCAACGGAUCCCUCCUCAGUUGGGAUUUUGAGUCUACCCAAAUGGAAUAUCUAGAAUUCGGAAAGAGACGAUGGGCCAGCAUCUGAUUAAAUUAGACAUGGAUUAAAUACUUAUAAAUCAUUUAGGUAGUAAAAUGUUCACACUCGUACUAAUUCAAUCCUCGUACUUUUAAAUCUUAAGAUGUAUUAAAAGACAACAAAUUUUCUUUUCCAGACAUUUCUAAUCUUCAAAACUGAUUCAUCAUUCCGAUUUGCUUCAUCACACUUCACCUUUGUAAGGCACCAUAUUUCUUGACGACUCAUGGAGAAGAAUAUUGGGAGUAGGACAAGAUCACCAGAAGUUCCACUUCAAGUAUUAGGAUAUGUUCAUUGUAAAAUGGAAAAGCAUACAAGAAAUUGAGGGAUCAGGCGACAAGCAUACCUUUGGGAUUUUACCAUUCAACCUUUGAUCUGUAAAUGGUAGAUUCUUAACAAGGAUGAUGCGCCACUUUCCGAUAUAACGGUCAUCGCCAACUUUAUGGCCAUCUGCCUCUUGUGAUGCAAGUGUAAUUUCAUCCCAAAAAGCCACAAAGCAAACCUGCAUCAUUUAAUCCAAUGACAUAUAUUAAUUAAGGUGUCCUGCACCACUUUAAAUCCCCAAACCCAACUACAUUGUGAUAAAGUGCAAUUUUACAUAGUGUAAACUAAAGACUGGAAAUCAA